rnacentral:rRNA from 1 species
UACAGAGGUCUCAAGCGUUGUUCGGAUUCAUUGGGCGUAAAGGGUGCGUAGGUGGCGGGGCAAGUCUGGUGUGAAAUCCCGGGGCUCAACCCUGGAACUGCACUGGAUACUGCUUUGCUAGAGUACUGGAGAGGUAAGCGGAAUUCCUGGUGUAGCGGUGAAAUGCGUAGAUAUCAGGAGGAACACCUGUGGUGUAGACAGCUUACUGGACCAUUUCUGACGCUGAGACACGAAAGCGUGGGUAGCAAACAGG